GCGUCGGUAGUGCAACGGUUUAGCGCGCGCUCCUUGAAAGAGUGAGGUCUCAGUUCGAAUCCCAGCUGAAGCA